UACAUAGGGAGCAAGCGUUGUUCGGAUUUACUGGGCGUAAAGGGCGCGUAGGCGGCGCGGUAAGUCACUUGUGAAAUCUCUGAGCUUAACUCAGAACGGCCAAGUGAUACUGCAGUGCUAGAGUGCAGAAGGGGCAAUCGGAAUUCUUGGUGUAGCGGUGAAAUGCGUAGAUAUCAAGAGGAACACCUGAGGUGAAGACGGGUUGCUGGGCUGACACUGACGCUGAGGCGCGAAAGCCAGGGGAGCAAACGGG
rnacentral:rRNA from 1 species